rnacentral:rRNA from 1 species
UCGAAACUGGCAGGCUUGAGUCUUGUAGAGGGGGGUAGAAUUCCAGGUGUAGCGGUGAAAUGCGUAGAGAUCUGGAGGAAUACCGGUGGCGAAGGCGGCCCCCUGGACAAAGACUGACGCUCAGGUGCGAAAGCGUGGGGAGCAAACAGGAUUAGAUACCCUGGUAGUCCACGCCGUAAACGAUGUCUACUUGGAGGUUGUGCCCUUGAGGCGUGGCUUCCGGAGCUAACGCGUUAAGUAGACCGCCUGGGGAGUACGGCCG